UACAGAGGUGGCAAGCGUUGUUCGGAAUUACUGGGCGUAAAGGGCUCGUAGGCGGCUACCUAAGUCAGACGUGAAAUCCCUCGGCUUAACCGGGGAACUGCGUCUGAUACUGGAUGGCUUGAGUUCGGGAGAGGGAUGCGGAAUUCCAGGUGUAGCGGUGAAAUGCGUAGAUAUCUGGAGGAACACCGGUGGCGAAGGCGGCAUCCUGGACCGAUACUGACGCUGAGGAGCGAAAGCUAGGGGAGCAAACGGG
rnacentral:rRNA from 1 species